rnacentral:rRNA from 1 species
AACGAACGCUGGCGGCAGGCUUAACACAUGCAAGUCGAGCGCCCCGCAAGGGGAGCGGCAGACGGGUGAGUAACGCGUGGGAAUCUGCCCAUCUCUACGGAAUAACGCAUGGAAACGUGUGCUAAUACCGUAUACGUCCUUCGGGAGAAAGAUUUAUCGGAGAUGGAUGAGCCCGCGUUGGAUUAGCUAGUUGGUGGGGUAAAGGCCUUCCAAGGCGACGAUCCAUAGCUGGUCUGAGAGGAUGAUCAGCCACACUGGGACUGAGACACGGCCCAGACUCCUACGGGAGGCAGCAGUGGGGAAUAUUGGACAAUGGGCGCAAGCCUGAUCCAGCCAUGCCGCGUGAGUGAUGAAGGCCCUAGGGUUGUAAAGCUCUUUCACCGGUGAAGAUAAUGACGGUAACCGGAGAAGAAGCCCCGGCUAACUUCGUGCCAGCAGCCGCGGUAAUAC